GGGAGUAUAGCUCAGUUGGUAGAGCCCUCGACCGAUAAUCGAGCGGUCGCAAGUUCGAGUCUUGCUACUCCCA
rnacentral:tRNA from 1 species